ACACCUCAACUCUCAUGGCUUGCCCAUGAUGAGCUUGGACUUUGGGGGUCUUGUUGGCCUGUGAGGCCAGCUCCUCUUAAAUGAAUUAGCUUGCCGGUGUUUGGUGGCAUCACAGGUGUGAUAACUAUCUACGCUUGUGGUUUCCCACCAGGUAACCUUCAGCAAUGGAGGUUCACUGGAGCUCAUAAAUGUCUCUCCUCUGCGAGGACACGUUUUGACC
rnacentral:misc_RNA from 1 species